rfam:Ophiophagus hannah scaffold3726.1, whole genome shotgun sequence.
AGAGACCGGGUCCUCUGAGUCCGCAGCACUUAGACUACGUGUUCCUCCGCAGCAGGGACAGGCCCAGCAGUCUUCU